GGCAUGGUGGUUCAGUGGCAGGAUUUUUGCCUCCCACGUGGGCGACCUGGGUUCAAGUCCCAGCCAAUGCCC
rnacentral:tRNA from 1 species